rnacentral:misc_RNA from 1 species
GAUGAAGAACGCAGCGAAAUGCGAUAAGUAAUGUGAAUUGCAGAAUUCAGUGAAUCAUCGAAUCUUUGAACGCACAUUGCGCCCGCCAGUAUUCUGGAGGGCAUGCCUGUCCGAGCGUCAUUUCAACCAUCAAGCCCCGGGCUUGUGUUGGGGACCUGCGUCCGACGCAGGCCCUGAAAACCAGUGGCGGGCUCGCUGUCCACACCGAGCGUAGUAACUAACCUCGCUAUGGAGUGGCGCGGGCGCCUGCCGUAAAACCCCCAAUUUCACAAGGUUGACCUCGGAUCAGGUAGGAAUACCCGCUGAACUUAAGCAUAUCAAUAAGCGGAGGA